UUAGUGGCGCACGGAUGCGUAACGCGUGGGAAUCUGCCCCUUGGUUCGGAAUAACAGUUGGAAACGACUGCUAAUACCGGAUGACGACGUAAGUCCAAAGAUUUAUCGCCGAGGGAUGAGCCCGCGUAGGAUUAGGUAGUUGGUGUGGUAAAGGCGCACCAAGCCGACGAUCCUUAGCUGGUCUGAGAGGAUGAUCAGCCACACUGGGACUGAGACACGGCCCAGACUCCUACGGGAGGCAGCAGUGGGGAAUAUUGGACAAUGGGCGAAAGCCUGAUCCAGCAAUGCCGCGUGAGUGAUGAAGGCCUUAGGGUUGUAAAGCUCUUUUACCCGGGAUGAUAAUGACAGUACCGGGAGAAUAAGCUCCGGCUAACUCCGUGCCAGCAGCCGCGGUAAUACGGAGGGAGCUAGCGUUAUUCGGAAUUACUGGGCGUAAAGCGCACGUAGGCGGCUUUGUAAGUAAGAGGUGAAAGCCCAGAGCUCAACUCUGGAAUUGCCUUUUAGACUGCAUCGCUUGAAUCAUGGAGAGGUCAGUGGAAUUCCGAGUGUAGAGGUGAAAUUCGUAGAUAUUCGGAAGA
rnacentral:rRNA from 1 species